ACGGAGAACUAGAUAGACAUAAGUGCUGGUAAGUAAAGAUGCUGAUAAGUAAGGAGCUGACAAGUAUAGAUGCAGGUAAAUAAAACAGUAGCUACAAUAAACAGAUAAGGAUGUACUGGAAAUAAACACUACAGCUACUGUAUGCAUGCGUCAACUGACGAUAACCUCAAAAGUACCCAAUCUCGCUGCCCUAUUGGUCCGAAGACCUCAGGCCCAUGCCACACUGCUCAACCUGUACCUGACCCUCGCAAUGAAGCCCCUGGGUCAGAAGCACAGUACCUGACCCUCGCAAUGAAGCCCCUGGGUCAGAAGCAUAUACCCUCGCAAUAAAGCCCCUGGGCUCACGGGUUGGCAAUCCAACCACUUUUCCGGAAAAGAACACCCUCUUGCGGUGGAUCAGACCGCUGGUGUUCGUGAAAUGCGUACCUGGAGUGGCGAUCAAUGUAGUAUGCUCAAAGAUCUUCCAUCGGCAACUAGCCGACAAUCCAGCCCCUCAGGGCACAUCGACCGUAUAGGUCAUCAGCAACUAGUCGGCUACGUAUGUCAAGAUAGAACUGUAGCAACUCGACCGAAUAGAUCAUAGAUAUCAAAAUAGGGGAACC
rnacentral:lncRNA from 1 species